AUUGAAUUGGCAGAAUAGUGCCUUAAAUUUAGAAUUUAAUAAUGUAAUUUUUACAUUCAAUA
rnacentral:tRNA from 1 species